rnacentral:hammerhead_ribozyme from 1 species
AUCCAGAUAAUGAGUCUCAAAUAGGAUGAGACGCGCGUCCUGGAU